rnacentral:rRNA from 1 species
CACUCUGGGACAAGCCCUGGAAACGGGGUCUAAUACCGGAUACUGACCAUCUUGGGCAUCCAAGGUGUUCGAAAGCUCCGGCGGUGCAGGAUGAGCCCGCGGCCUAUCAGCUAGUUGGUGAGGUAAUGGCUCACCAAGGCGACGACUGGUAGCCGGCCUGAGAGGGCGACCGGCCACACUGGGACUGAGACACGGCCCAGACUCCUACGGGAGGCAGCAGUGGGGAAUAUUGCACAAUGGGCGAAAGCCUGAUGCAGCGACGCCUCGUGAGGGAUGACGGCCUUCGGGUUGUAAACCUCUUUCAGCAGGGAAGAAGCGAAAGUGACGGUACCUGCAGAAGAAGCGCCGGCUAACUACGUGCCAGCAGCCGCGGUAAUACGUAGGGCGCGAGCGUUGUCCGGAAUUAUUGGGCGUAAAGAGCUCGUAGGCGGCUUGUCGCGUCGGUUGUGAAAGCCCGGGGCUUAACCCCGGGUCUGCAGUCGAUACGGGCAGGCUAGAGUUCGGUAGGGGAGAUCGGAAUUCCUGGUGUAGCGGUGAAAUGCGCAGAUAUCAGGAGGAACACCGGUGGCGAAGGCGGAUCUCUGGGCCGAUACUGACGCUGAGGAGCGAAAGCGUGGGGAGCGAACAGGAUUAGAUACCCUGGUAGUCCACGCCGUAAACGGUGGGCACUAGGUGUGGGCAACAUUCCACGUUGUCCGUGCCGCACCUAACGCAUUAAGUGCCCCGCCUGGGGAGUACGGCCGCAAGGCUAACACUCAAAGGAAUUGACGGGAGCCCGCACAAGCGGCGGAGCAUGUGGCUUAAUUCGACGCAACGCAAAGAACCUUACCNNGGCUUGACAUACNCGGAAANNAUAAAAAAUAGUGCCCCCCUUGUGGUCCGUGUACAGGUGGUGCAUGGCUGUCGUCACCUCGUGUCNNANAUGUUGGGUUAAGUCCCUCAACAACGCAACCCUUGUCCCGUGUUGCCAGCAGCCCUUCGGGGGGGUGGGGACUCCAGG